AAUCAACGCUGGCGGCGUGCCUCAGACAUGCAAGUCGAACGCGAAAUUUCCCUUCGGGGAGAAAGUAGAGUGGCGCACGGGUGAGUAACACGUAGGUAAUUUGCCUUUGGGUGGGGAAUAACUCAGGGAAACUUGAGCUAAUACCGCAUAAUGCAGCGGCUCGACAUCGAGACAGUUGUUAAAGCGGGGGAUUGGAGCAAUCCGACCUCGCGCCUAAAGAGAAGCCUGCGGCAGAUUAGCUAGUUGGUAAGGUAAUGGCUUACCAAGGCGACGAUCUGUAACCGGCCUGAGAGGGCGGUCGGUCACACUGACACUGACAUACGGGUCAGACUCCUACGGGAGGCAGCAGUCGGGAAUUUUGGGC
rnacentral:rRNA from 1 species